rnacentral:rRNA from 1 species
AAUCUAUAAUUUAAAUUUAUAAAAUAUAAUAGUAAGCUUUAAAUCAGCUAUCUUUUGAUUACGUUUUAGUUUAUAAUUGUUAAUAAAUGAUUUUAUAAUUAUUUUAGGUUUUAUAUUAAGAAUAUAAAUUUAAUUUUAAAAUUAUUGAAAUAAUGAUGAAAUUAGUAUAAUAUUUUGUUUAUAAUAAAGUUUAUGUGAAUUUAUUAUAAGGAAUUAGGCAAUAUUGAUUUCCGCCUGUUUAUCAAAAACAUGUCUUCUUGAUUAUAUUUUGAAGUCUGGUCUGCUCACUGUAUAAUAUAAAUAGCCGCAGUAUUUUAACUGUGCAAAGGUAGCAUAAUCAUUAGUUUCUUAAUUAGAGGCUGGAAUGAAUGGCUUGACGAGAAAUCAACUGUCUCUUAUUAAAUUUUAAAAUUUAACUUUUAAGUUAAAAGGCUUAAAUUUUCCUUAGGGACGAGAAGACCCUAUAGAGCUUUACAUAAUAUUUUUGUAUUUUUUAGUUUUUAUUUUUAUAAUUAUUGAUUAUAUGUUUUGUUGGGGUGACAUAAAGGAUAAAUAAACCCUUUAUUUUAGAAAUCAUUAAUUUAUGUUUAAAUUGAUCCAUAAUUUAUGAUCAUAAGAUUAAGUUACCUUAGGGAUAACAGCGUAAUUUAUUUUGAGAGUUCAUAUCAACAAAUUAGAUUGCGACCUCGAUGUUGGAUUAAGAUAAAUAUUGGGUGUAGUAGUUCAAUAAUUAGGUCUGUUCGACCUUUAAAUUCUUACAUGAUCUGAGUUCAGACCGGCGUAAGCCAGGUCGGUUUCUAUCUUAAGUUAUAUUAUUUUUAUUAGUACGAGAGGACCAUAAAGGUAAAAUAAUUUUUAUUAAUUGAUUAAAAUUAAUUU